UGGAGGCCUGGUCUAGCUUCUGUCCUAGAAAACUCCGUGCUUGCAUCUGAAUGUCACUGCUCAGCUGUCUGGGGUCUGGAGCUGAGGAGGCCUUCUCUAGCACAUUCAGGUUGAGUAGAGAAGCAGGUUCACCUGGUGCAUUGGUUCCAGGGCACAGGGAUCGGGCAUAAAGUCAAUGGGCAGCAGGUGAGGCUGUGGCUGUGAACUUCCAGUCGAUUCUCUCCUCCGAAGAGAACAGAGCUGCCCCUCGUCUUUCAGCCCAGCUCUCCUGUGUUUUCUCAGCACCUCGGCGGGACAAGACAGAGCCCGCCAGAACCAAGGUCCUUUUUCGCGUUUAGGUGAUUCAGUUCCGUUCAGUUGCUCAGUCGUGUCCAACUCUUUGCGACCCCAUGAAUCGCAGCAUGCCAGGCCUCCCUGUCCAUCACCAACU
rnacentral:lncRNA from 1 species